GACGAACGCUGGCGGCGUGCUUAACACAUGCAAGUCGAACGGAAAGGCCCUGCUUUUGUGGGGUGCUCGAGUGGCGAACGGGUGAGUAACACGUGAGUAACCUGCCCUUUACUUUGGGAUAACUUCAGGAAACUGGGGCUAAUACCGGAUAGGAGCUCCUGCUGCAUGGUGGGGGUUGGAAAGUUUCGGCGGUUGGGGAUGGACUCGCGGCUUAUCAGCUUGUUGGUGGGGUAGUGGCUUACCAAGGCUUUGACGGGUAGCCGGCCUGAGAGGGUGACCGGCCACAUUGGGACUGAGAUACGGACCAGACUCCUACGGGAGGCAGCAGUGGGGAAUAUUGUACAAUGGGCGGAAGCCUGAUGAAGCAACGCCGCGUGCGGGAUGACGGCCUUCGGGUUGUAAACCGCUUUCGCCUGUGACGAAGCGUGAGUGACGGUAAUGGGUAAAGAAGCACCGGCUAACUACGUG
rnacentral:rRNA from 1 species